rnacentral:misc_RNA from 1 species
UUAAAAUAAAAAUCGGUGUUGUUGCUGCUUUUCGUGGUGACGCGUCGGAAUUGAGUCGUCUUAUCUUCGGCUAAGUGACUUAAAAUUUUAUAUGAUUUUCGAACGUAUUUAAAUUGCUUACUUACGUUUGAGAUUUCGAAUAUUUUUAUUAGGUUCGGUCAUCCUUAUGACUCGCGCCUAUAAUUUUUUCAUU